rnacentral:lncRNA from 1 species
CUUGGCCGCCGCCCCCCCUGCCCACCUCCUCCUCCCUCCAUUGUUGCAGCCACCAAAACCCUAGCCGCCCUCCCCCAAUCCCCUCCUCCCUAGGUGCUACUCCGUGUCGCUCGGAUCAUCGUCUUUUGGUGCGAAUCUCCAAUCGUUUUGGGGGAAGGAAGAAGGGAGGAAGGAAAAGGGGAGAACCCAAGGUGAUUUUUCUUUUGUGUUCAUCCCUUGUUCAUUUGCGCUGCGAUUCAAUUGAUUAGAUGUUGCGUUUGCGAUUAGAUAGAGGGGGGCUGUCCAGAAUUUUGCGUGGUGGAUGAACAGCGGUAGUUCCAGCAGUUUUUAGGUUUUUUUCGUGAAGAUUUAAUGGGGAUCAAUUUGGGAAUCUUGUAGAACUUUGUUUUAUCUUUCCAACGAGUAUUUAUGCGCUCAAUUUGGAGUUAUAAAUUAAAAGUUAUCAUCGUUUGAAUCCGGGUAUGUGGCUGUCCAGAAAACAGAUUUUUCAGAGUGAUGAACAGCAGCAGUGUUAGCCGUUUCUGGGGAUGUUUCGGGGGUAAUUAGUGUUAAUCAGUAUGAGAAUCUUGUAGAACUUUGUUUUAUCUUUCCAACGAGUAUUUAUGCGCUCAAUUUGGAGUUAUAAAUUAAAAGUUAUCAUCGUUUGAAUCCGGGUAUGUGGCUGUCCAGAAAACAGAUUUUUCAGAGUGAUGAACAGCAGCAGUGUUAGCAGUUUCUGGGGAUGUUUCGGGGGUAAUUAGUGUUAAUCAGUAUGCGAAUCUUGUAUAACUUUGUUUUACCUUUCCAACGAGUAUUUAUGCGCUCAAUUUGGAGUUGUAAAUUAAAAGUUAUCAUCGUUUGAAUCCGGGUAUGUGGCUGUCCAGAAAACAGAUUUUUCAGAGUGAUGAACAGCAGCAGUGUUAGCAGUUUCUGGGGAUGUUUCGGGGGUAAUUAGUGUUAAUCAGUAUGAGAAUCUUGUAGAACUUUGUUUUACCUUUCCAACGAGUAUUUAUGCGCUCAAUUUGGAGUUGUAAAUUAAAAGUUAUCAUCGUUUGAAUCCGGGUAUGUGGCUGUCCAGAAAACAGAUUUUUCAGAGUGAUGAACAGCAGCAGUGUUAGCAGUUUCUGGGGAUGUUUCGGGGGUAAUUAGUGUUAAUCAGUAUGAGAAUCUUGUAGAACUUUGUUUUACCUUUCCAACGAGUAUUUAUGCGCUCAAUUUGGAGUUGUAAAUUAAAAGUUAUCAUCGUUUGAAUCCGGGUAUGUGGCUGUCCAGAAAACAGAUUUUUCAGAGUGAUGAACAGCAGCAGUGUUAGCAGUUUCUGGGGAUGUUUCGGGAGUAAUUAGUGUUAAUCAGUAUGAGAAUCAUGUAGGGCUUUUUCUUAUCUUUCCAACAAGUACUUAUGCGCUCAAAUCGGAAUUAUAUUUUAAAAGUUAUCGCUGUUUGAAUCCGCGUAUGUCGCUGCUCAAAUCAGAAAAAAAAAACAGAUUGCAGGGUUUAUUUUGAGGACCGUUUAGAGGUAAGUAGAUGUUAGAAUUCAAUCAUGAGUUGUAUACAAAACUUGUGGGGAAUUUUAUGUAGUUGUCUCUGAAGUUUUUGUUUAUCAUCACUGCUGUCCUAAAUUUUAAGUUAUGGAAUUGCUAAGCAGCGCCGCUGCAGUUUGGUUAGUGAGGGGAGAAUUGUUACCGCGGCGGGGUUGGAGAUUGCGCGUAGGUGCGGUGUUGUCUUUGAGUUUUGUUUCAUGAGAAUUUGGUGCACUAAGUUGGGUGUCAAAAACAGGUGGUGGACUUCCGGAUCGUUCUUAGGGAUUUUGCCCGAACUUCGGUAAAGGCAAGUAAAACAGUGAUGGUUAUUCCGUCCUUUGAUUGAAGAGUCUUAUACUUGAUUAUGUUUGUGCUAUUUGUGUUUGUAUCCAUAUUCCUAAUUGGGUACCAUCGUUUGAAAUUAUUCAUGCUUUAUUGAUUAUACAUGUGGAGGGUGUGGUUUGAUCAUGUUACCCAUGUGGUUAUUGAUGUGAAAUGGGUGGAAGUAUAUGUCUAGCACAUCUUAUUUGGGAAGAACUCAUGUUGUUGACAUGCAUAAUGCAUUCAUCAUCCAUUGCAUUGAAGUUUUCGUCGCGAUCUUAUGGUCCGACCGUACCGGUACAAUGAGCAUCAUAUGUUUCCCGAGAAGGGGUAUGAUGCAGCUUCAUAUCCUUAGAGGUAUGAAGGCAGAAGUCAUGUUGCAUCUGUAGCCAUGUGCAUUCAUGGGUGAAGUGUGGAACCUAUUUUGGUGAUGUGGAUAAGGUGGUUCUUUACUUUGUAAUUCAUCUUGGCAUUGAGUAAUUGAUUACUUGCUUACUUGCUGCAAAUUAAUAUUUAAGGAAGAAGUUGGGAACCAUGUGGUUGCUUAUGCACGGUUGGCUUGCAUUGUCCAACUGUUGUUUGUUUUUUUUACUUGCUGAGAUGUGUCAUCUCACUCUUGCAUUGUCUAAUGCAGGCACCUGAUCUUUGCUUUGGGAAGGAAGGGAUGUAGCAGCACGACCACCACACUUUUAAAUAAAGGAAUUACUGAUUAAUAAUGAUGUUAAACAGGAAGAGUCAAGUCUAGGGAAUUAUUACAUUCUAAUCUUUCAUGGUAGUUGAACUGUUUAGUUUGGUGGGCGGUGAUGUCUAUCUUUUGUCUGGUCAUGAAUGUUCUUUCCUACCGUUGCAUUUUGAUUAUACUAUGUCAAUUAUCUUUCUUUUAUAUCCUGUAUAAACUAUAUGCUUCCCUUGUUAUGCUACUUUCAAGGGAGGUGCUGCCGGAUUUUGCAAUACUUUCUUUCUCUAUGUGUGGCAUAAGUUUUGUAGGAAGGUUUGUUUUUGGUAUCAUCCAUUGUGUGGGAUCAGUGGGGUGUUACAUUUCCCCUUUAAGUCAGUUCCUUUUCCCGUGAUUGAAUCGAAGCUCCUUUGCGCAUAGCUUCGAAGUAACGGCAACCUUCGUCACGAUCGUGCCUCUCUCAUCGUAUAUGCCUUUGAUCCUGAAUCCGAAGGUACCUGUUUAUAAAGCAUGCUUGGAAGACAUUGUUAAAUUACGUUUUUGAGGACCUUCGGAGGACGAAGGCCCCCAACAAUGCAUGUAUUAUUUUUGGGUGUCUUUUUUUAUUUAUUUAUUUGUUUACAUGAGGUGUUCACAUGGGAUGGUGAAUAGAGAUAACACACACAUAUAGAUAAGGAAACGAUUUUUUUCCUCCUUUUAUAUUAUCUCUUACAAAUCGGGGUAUUACAUAUCAACCUGCGGUCCACUGCGGGGUUGGGCUGAGUCUGUGGAUCACUUAUGAUUUCGCCCCUGCGUUUCUAUAAAUUUUGUGCUCGGUCCAGUGAUCAUUUAAUUUGGGUAAAUAAAUGUGGAAAUGAAAUUUUAGUGUAAAAACAAUUCCUAGAACUUGUUUAAUUCAUAUAAAAUUCAAAUGAAG